GAUGACCACAAUUUCCAGUUCCUCUUUGGGCAGCUGGGCUUUGGAGAUCUCCCAGAAAGGACUCUGUUGGUUAAUUUCAUGGCUAAUGAUCAGCGGUGACACCAGAAACAGACGGUCAUCCCCCGUGUAAUACCCUACGUUGAUAUCCGUCUGGUUCAACGGGAUGAACUCCCCCUCCGAGGUCUGUUUGGAUUUGAUCAACUUGGCUCUGAUGGAAGCCUCCACAAUGUGGGAAUUCCUUAGGUCCCCUACCCGGAACAUCAGGCACAGUUUCCCAUCCCGCAUGGAGAUCACUGCAUGGGUGGAAAAGACCAGGGUCUCUGCCCUCUUCUUGGGUUGAGAGAUUUUUACAAACAUGCAUCCCACCAUGAAUGCAUUGACAAUGGACCCCAACACAGAUUGGAUUAAGAGAAGAAUAAUUCCCUCCGGGCAUUUAUCUGUGAUGACCCGGUAGCCAUAACCAAUGGUGGUUUCUGUCUCUAUUGAGAAUAAAAAAGCAGAGACGAACCCGUUGAGGUUGGUAACACAAGGAGUCCAGGAGGGGUCCUCUAUGUGGUCCAUGUCUCCCCGUAUGUAUGCGAUCAACCACCAGAUCAUUCCAAAAAAGAGCCAGGUCACUGUGUAAACCAUGACAAAAAUCAAUAGGUUGAAUCUCCACUUCAGGUCCACUAAGGUGGUGAAGAUAUCGGUCAGGUAGCGAUAGGUCUCCCUCACGUUGCCGUGAUGAACAUUGCACUUUCCGUCUUUCCUCACGUACCUCUGGAUUUUCCUUUUGGUCCGGUCUCGGCUGAUGUGUCUUGGCAGGUCAUCCCUGGCCUGCUUAGGCAACUUUGGCUGGUGAAUGGCCACUGGGCUUUCGACGUCCUGAUCCAUGGAGUCGCCCUCCAGGACGUUAGCUGGUGGUUUGGAGAAAAGAAAAGAAACACUGAAUGAAAGGCUGGCUUUUUGAGGACAAUGGAACGGCACACUUUGUAUGGGCUGGUGAAACCAAAUACCAUUUGUGUAGCUAUAAACAAAGUAGACAAAGCCAUUUUUAUUCCACACCAUCUGGAUAGGCCUCUAGUUGACUUGGACUUCUGUGCUCUUCGAUCUAGUUUGUGUAAGUACUUCACCAUCCUGCCCACCAGGACGGAGCUUAUUGCUGCAAAAUUGUGUCCCUGCCAGCAGGUUCUACUGAGUCAGCUCUCACAGAGGGAUGCCUCCCAACUCUGAGACGCUGUGGCAUGGGAGAGGCAGUAAGCUCUGAUGAAGGAGUCCUCUUUAGAUUCAGACAGGCUUAGCUCUACUACUUAGCAACUCUUAGUGGGCUCUUGGCCAUGAUAUCUGUUAUGGACUGUAUCGUGUCCUCACCAAAUCCAUAUGGGGCUUGAGCCCCAACCCCUAAGGUGACAGUAUUUGGAGAUAAGGCCUUUAAGGAGAUAGUUAAAGGUUAUAUGAGGCCAUAGGGUUGGGGCUCCAAUCUAAUAGGAGUGGUAUCCUUAUGCGAAGAGGGAGAGACACCAGGGGUGCACACAAACAGAGGAAAAGCCAUAUGAGACACAGGGAGAAGGUGGCCAUCUGCAAGCCAAGGAGAGAGGGCUCCUAGAAACUAACCCUGCCAACACCUUGAUCUUGAACUCCAGCCUCCAGAACGAUGAGAAAAUAAAUGUCCAUUGUUUAAGCCACCCAGUCUGUGAUAUUCUAUUAUGGCAGCCUGAACUGACUUACAAGACACUAUCCAAAUUCGUGAGCCUCAGUUUCCUCAUUUACAAAAUGAUCAUGAUACCCAACUCACAGUGUUGUUAUAAGGUUAAACAAAACCAUGUAUGUGAUCUGUGCCUGCAUGUAACAGACUUGCAAUCAGUAUUUUUUUGUAAUAAAUUGUUCCCUUGUCACUUUCCUUAUGUUUAGGGCAAGAAUCUUGAACAAGCUCUUUGAACUAUUGGCCAAAUUUCAGGGUUUAAAAAACAUUUCUGGUUUUUGUCGCCUCAGGAAGAGACAGCAUCUGUUCUGCAGAGCCUACUCUCUAGUCUGACAGCUUUGACUUUUAGAUGAUCGCCCUCAGUAGUCCUUCAUUGAAAAUAAGAAAAGUCAUUCAUUUGAAGAGCUUACAAAGAGCUACGAUGCUAUAGCUCCAGACUGAAGAAUGGUGGGAUUUUGCCAUCAUAUUGAUUCCUGCGAUCUUGGAUUUAUAACCAGUUACUAGUUAGUGAUGCCUCUGGAUGAACACAUGAAGAAAGUGAGGCCCAGGGAAGCCAACAGAUUUGCCAGGAGGCAGAGCUGGAGUGAGCUCCCAGACCUUGGGAUCCUAGGCUGUCCGUUCCUCCUUCUGUGUUUCUCUGAAGCAGUGGCUGCUUCAGGCUAUUGUCUUGCCCAGGGAAUGUGGAGUUGGUGGUUUCCUUCUGAGAGCAAGAAGAAAUCUAUUGCUCCUGAUUCUUCCAGUGUGGAGCUUGGAGACAGCCAGUCCCGGGGAAUCCCAGCUCUGCUGCCCACCAGCAAAGGGACCUGCAGCCUUAAGUUUCAUAUGCAAAAUAGGGUGAAAUGUCCACCUUGCUGGGUUGCUGGGAGAAUGAAAUGACAUAAUGCACUUUGGGAGCCUGGUGACAAUGUGCUUGGCUAUAGUACCUGGUGGGCCUGGGUUGGAAUCCAGUUCUCCCAACUCCAAUCUGCAAGUAUUUGUUCAGGCCACUUCUGCCUCAGAGUCUGUUUCCUCAACUGCAUAAUGAAAACAAUAAGACCUACCUUAAAGAGUUACUGUGAGAAAGAAAAAAAUCCUGCAAGGAUGGCACCUGGUCCACAGCAGCCAUUGAACAAAUGACAGCAAUUAUGAUAGUGUCUGGGUCGAAGAAGGUACACAAUUUGUAACUACAAUAAUCACUAUUUUUAUAAGCUCAACAUUGUCCUGGAAACUGUGGGAAAUCCAGAAAUAAUCUAAGAAACAGAUGGGCAGACCCAUCUGGAAGCUAAGAGCCUGCUUGGUAACACAAAACCUGCGUAGUGCCCCAUAUCAAUGUGCAGUUGCAUUCUACACUGUGGACAAGAGGCCAAGAAUGUUCUAGUGCAUCAGAGACAGAGGCCAACAGUGGCUGGACUAAUUGGCAAAGGCAUCACAAAGGAGGUGGGAAAUUAUUGUGGCUCUGAUGUGUGAAAGGGAAAAAGCCAACCCUUACUGAAUAUCUAUUAUGUGCCAAGUACUGGGCGGGGCACAACAGCCCACAGCGGGAGUAUUGACCCGUUUUACAGAUGAGGCAGUGGAGGUGCAUAGGGUUCAGUCACUUGCUGAAACUUACAUGUCUAAUAUACGGUGGGGAUAGGAGAUUGAACCCUCCAUCAAGUUGG